rnacentral:rRNA from 1 species
AGUUUGACUGGGGCGGUCUCCUCCUAAAGAGUAACGGAGGAGCACGAAGGUUGGCUAAUCCUGGUCGGACAUCAGGAGGUUAGUGCAAUGGCAUAAGCCAGCUUGACUGCGAGCGUGACGGCGCGAGCAGGUGCGAAAGCAGGUCAUAGUGAUCCGGUGGUUCUGAAUGGAAGGGCCAUCGCUCAACGGAUAAAAGGUACUCCGGGGAUAACAGGCUGAUACCGCCCAAGAGUUCAUAUCGACGGCGGUGUUUGGCACCUCGAUGUCGGCUCAUCACAUCCUGGGGCUGAAGUAGGUCCCAAGGGUAUGGCUGUUCGCCAUUUAAAGUGGUACGCGAGCUGGGUUUAGAACGUCGUGAGACAGUUCGGUCCCUAUCUGCCGUGGGCGCUGGAGAACUGAGGGGGGCUGCUCCUAGUACGAGAGGACCGGAGUGGACGCAUCACUGGUGUUCGGGUUGUCAUGCCAAUGGCACUGCCCGGUAGCUAAAUGCGGAAGAGAUAAGUGCUGAAAGCAUCUAAGCACGAAACUUGCCCCGAGAUGAGUUCUCCCUGACUCCCUGAGAGUCCUGAAGGAACGUUGAAGACGACGACGUUGAUAGGCCGGGUGUGUAAGCGCAGCGAUGCGUUGAGCUAACCGGUACUAAUGAACCGUGAGG